rnacentral:rRNA from 1 species
AUGGAAGCUUCUCAUGCCGCCGCGGCUGGGGCGACAGAGGCAGCAGCUGCUGCUUCUCUAGACCUAUCUCUAGCACUAGCCCCUGUGCCACCACCGCCACCUUGCUCCUCUUCUCGGGCUGUAGCAGAUGCUCUUCUUCCUUCUAGGGGUGCCGGCGGUGACAGCCCCGGCCAUGGUGGUGGCUCGAGGCUCUUCUCGUGUCUCUUCUGCGAGAAGACCUUCCUCAAGUCGCAGGCACUGGGGGGCCACCAGAACGCGCACAAGAAGGAGAAGGCCGGCGGCAGCUGGAACGCCCACCUCUACCUCCCCGCGGCGGCGGGAGCAGCCACCCACCACAACCAGCCGGCCACCUUGACGUCCAUGCCACCGGUGACCCGGCCGCCCGCGAGUACGCCCACUAGCAGGCAUGACGAUGACCACGAGCAGCAGCAGCUUGAUCUUAGCCUCAGGCUCUAG